AUGACGGAGUUAGCAUCAAAAAAACCACAAUUCUUGGAUCUAAGAAUGCCAAUUGAUAAUAAUUUACAAGAAGGUGCAGUAAUUGGUGACUUCAACAGGGAAUUCUUAGGUGUGUAUGCGCUUAAUCAGGGGAAGUACCAAAGGCACAACUUUAUUGUUUGUUGUAUUCCUUUUCGUUGUGACCUUGGGGCAAUAAUGUGCUUCUAG